UACAGAGGUCCCAAGCGUUGUUCGGAUUCACUGGGCGUAAAGGGUGCGCAGGUGGGUUUGCAAGUUCGAUGUGAAAGCCCCGGGCUUAACCCGGGAAAGGCAUUGGAUACUACUGUGCUGGAGGAUUGGAGGGGGGACUGGAAUUCUUGGUGUAGCAGUGAAAUGCGUAGAUAUCAAGAGGAACACCAGUGGCGAAGGCGAGUCCCUGGACAAUACCUGACACUGAGGCACGAAAGCCAAGGGAGCAAACAGG
rnacentral:rRNA from 1 species